rnacentral:rRNA from 1 species
UACGGGGGGAGCAAGCGUUGUUCGGAUUUACUGGGCGUAAAGGGCGCGUAGGCGGUCAGCACAAGUCAGUUGUGAAAUCUCCGGGCUUAACCCGGAAAGGUCAACUGAUACUGUGCGACUAGAGUGCGGAAGGGGCAACUGGAAUUCUCGAUGUAGCGGUGAAAUGCGUAGAUAUCGAGAGGAACACCUGCGGCGAAGGCGG